GCGAAAUCGUAAGCAGCCCGACCCGGUA
rnacentral:sRNA from 1 species